UGCUUCUCCACCUCCACCACCUUACGAGUACAAGUCGCCACCCCCUCCUUCUCCCUCUCCACCACCGCCUUAUGAGUACAAGUCGCCACCACCUCCUUCUCCAUCUCCUCCACCGCCAUAUGAAUACAAGUCGCCACCACCUCCUUCACCAUCACCUCCACCACCAUACUACUACUCUUCCCCACCACCUCCGAAGAAGUCACCUCCACCACCAUACUACUACUCCUCUCCACCACCACCCGAGAAGUCACCUCCUCCACCAUACUACUACUCCUCUCCUCCACCCCCGGAGAAGUCACCUCCACCACCUUACUACUACUCUUCUCCACCACCCCCCAAGAAGUCACCUCCACCUCCAUACUACUAUAGUUCUCCACCACCACCCGAGAAGUCACCUCCACCACCUUACUACUAUUCUUCUCCUCCACCACCCGAGAAGUCACCUCCACCACCAUACUACUACUACUCUCCUCCACCACCCAAGAAGUCACCUCCACCUCCAUACUACUACAGUUCUCCACCACCACCAGUUAAGUAUCCUCCUCCACCAUACUACUACCCUUCUCCACCACCACCCAAGGAAUCACCUCCUCCACCAUACUACUACUCCUCACCACCACCACCCAAGAAGUCACCCCCAC
rnacentral:lncRNA from 1 species